ACCUACAGCCAUACCACCUUGAAAGUGCCCGAUCUCAUCUGAUUGUGGAAGAUAAGCAGGGUCAGGUGUGGUUAGCAGAAUGGGAGAACGAGAAUUAUAUUAACAGGUUAUAUAUA
rnacentral:rRNA from 1 species